rnacentral:rRNA from 1 species
CUACGGGAUGCACCAGUCGAGAAUCUUCGGCAAUGGACGAAAGUCUGACCGAGCGACGCCGCGUGCGGGAUGAAGGCCUUCGGGUUGUAAACCGCUGUCAGAGGGAAGGAAAUUUUGACCGAUCCUCAAAGGAAGUACGGGCUAAGUUCGUGCCAGCAGCCGCGGUAAGACGAACCGUACAAACGUUAUUCGGAAUCACUGGGCUUAAAGGGUGCGUAGGUGGUCUAUUAAGUUGGGUGUGAAGUCCCUCGGCUCAACCGAGGAACUGCGCUCAAUACUGGUAGACUUGAGGGAGAUAGAGGUGGGCGGAACUGAUGGUGGAGCGGUGAAAUGCGUUGAUAUCAUCGGGAACACCUGUGGCGAAAGCGGCUCACUGGAUCUCUUCUGACACUGAGGCACGAAAGCUAGGGGAGCGAACGGGAUUAGAUACCCCGUAGUC